rnacentral:rRNA from 1 species
CCUACGGGAGGCAGCAGUAGGGAAUCUUCCACAAUGGACGCAAGUCUGAUGGAGCAACGCCGCGUGAGUGAAGAAGGGUUUCGGCUCGUAAAGCUCUGUUGGUAGUGAAGAAAGAUAGAGGUAGUAACUGGCCUUUAUUUGACGGUAAUUACCUAGAAAGUCACGGCUAACUACGUGCCAGCAGCCGCGGUAAU